CUGGGUGUGGCGCAGCUUGGUCAGCGCGCCCGGUUCGGGGCCGGGAGGUUUCGGGGGUUCAAAUCCCUCCACCCAGAC
rnacentral:tRNA from 1 species